CCAAGGAGUCUAACAUGUGCGCGAGUCGUCGGGUUUUGCUAAACCCGAAGGCGCAAUGAAAGUGAAGACCGUCCUCGUUGGCGUGUCUAGGGGAGAUCCCGUCCUGCUCCGGUAGCUCGGGCGCAUCCCCGGGGCGUCGAAGCCGCGUUGCCGGCUAGACGCACCAAGAGCGUACACGUUGGGACCCGAAAGAUGGUGACCUAUGCCUGGCCAGGACGAAGCCAGGGGAAACCCUGGUGGAGGUCCGCAGCGAUUCUGACGUGCAAAUCGAUCGUCGGAGUUGGGUAUAGGGGCGAAAGACUAAUCGAACCAUCUAGUAGCUGGUUCCCCCCGA
rnacentral:rRNA from 1 species